UGAGAAGAGUAUUAUGAGUUUGUAUUUUGUUAAACAUUUUGUCAUGUUGAAUCUCUUAUAGCCAUUUUGCUGAUUGGGCAGUUAAGUUUGUAUAUUUGGCAAGAUUUUUUGUUUUUUCUUUUGAGCCAAUUCUCAUUGUGUUGUCCAUUGAUUCCUGGUGCAGUUGAUCUUCCUGCCUUGCCUUUCUCCUAGUUGGUAUUAUAGAUAGGCUCUACUGUACUGGCUAACAUUUUUUUAUCCAUUCAUGCCCCCCCCCCCAACCUACCCCUGUGUGUAUAUGGUAUGCUUGUAUUAUAGCAUGAGUGGUUUCAUGUGCCUGUCUGUGAAGGUCAGUGGAUGUCUUUUAGAAGUUGGUUAUCUUCUGUUAUGUGGUUCCUGGGAACAGAACUUAUUGUCAGAUUUGGUGGCAAGUAUCUUUAUCCAUUUAGCCAGUCUCCCCAGCCCCUCACUUAGCAAGUUUCAAAUGUGUCUAGGAAGAUAUACAGGGUAGAAUUACAUUGGUCUACAACUCUUUUUUUGAGACAACUGAUACCUUACAGAGUAUAUUGACAUAGGAGAUUUUGCUAAGUAGCAGAUGAUACUAUAUACAAUAUUAUAAAAUUUGUAGCUCAGACUGGCCUGGAAUAACUGUAGCCUAGACUAAUCUAGAACUUGAGGUGCUCUUUAUGCCUCAGUGUUCAGAAUAUUGGGCUUACGGGCAGGAUUUACCACAUCUGGCUAAUAUUCAAUUUUAAUAUAUACCAUAAUCUUAUCCUAUACAUUCAGUUAUAGAUAUGUAACUUUUUUUUGAAAACAAUAUUGCUAAUUUUGUUAGUAGUCUUUGACAUUUUUAUUCUAUAUAUAUUAGUUAUCUUUAGCCUCAAUUUUAAAAGGCAAUGUAUUUUACAAAACCUAUACAUGUGAGCAUGCAUAUACAUGUAAGCAUGCAUAUAUACACACACAGAGACAGCUAUAAAUACAGGAUAAAAAAAUUCAUGGUAGAUAUAACAAAAAAGAGAUAGGAUCAAGAAUGUGGUUCAGCGUGUUCUUGUGUCCUGGGAAAGAACCUGAUCCACAAAGAUUAAGAUGUUCUUGGUUUUUGUUUUGUGGGGAAGAGGAGAGGAAUACCUCAAGCAUUUGUGAUAUAUUGUCGUAAUUAGAAUAUUAAAGCUGAGCAUGGUGGCACAUGUCUGUCUGUAAUUCCAGCACUUCAGAGACUGAAGCUGCAAGUUCAAGAUCAAUCCAGACUACAUAGUCUUAGCGCACCACAACUGCCCCUUACCCCUCAAAAAGAAAGAAAAGGAAAGAACAUUAGGGUGGAAUAUUGAAAUAAUGAUGCUUUUUUCCCCUUGAAGGUGUUUUACGUCUGUACUGUUUACUGUAAUAGCCACUAGCUUGCUGCUAUUUAAAUUCAAUACAUUGAAAUUAAGAUAAAAAAUUACUUCUUCAGUUUCAUAAGCUACACUUAUUUUAUAUAAUGGCUGUUGUUUAGUAUAAUAAUGUUUCAGAGAUGGGGCAUUUCUAUCAUUGUAGGAACUUCUUUUGGAUGAUGUUGCCUUUAUAACUAACAGUGCUUUUAGUGUUUUAUACAAGCAGUUGGUCAAGUGUUUUAUUUUUUUAAUCAGUAGGCAGAAGAAUAUUCUUAUAUGCUUUAAAUUCCAUAAUAAAACUGUUUAUUCCUACAUGGUGGCUUCUGCAUUAUCUCCUGAUCUCCAAAAUUAACUAAAAGUAAGCACCAUGAUAUGUAAAUCUCUCCUGGAAAGGAACUGGGAGCAGUUAGUAGGUUUAGGAUGAUCUUUGUUCCUUGGCUAUCUUACUACCUCUGAACAGGUGAAGGUGGUAAGAGGCAUUGCUAUGCGUUGUUCUUGUUUGUUCAGAGGGGAUCAUGCUUAUGUAGCCUAGCCUGGCCUUGACCUGGGCCUGUAGGCAUGCAUUACUAUGUCUCCUUUACAAGUAUGUUUCUUUUCUUUGUGUCUCUUUAGUAGCAUAAAGAAAUAGGAUGAACUUGAGCCACAUGCAUAGUGUAAAAUUUCUGUUACAGUGUUUUGUUUUUUUUCCAGGACAGCCAGAGAAACCCUGUCUCGAAAAAACAAAACACAACCAACAAACAAAC
rnacentral:lncRNA from 1 species